GGUGUGGGGAGAACUCAACUCUCUCCGCGCCGUAGCUAACGCAUUAAGUGCCCCGCCUGGGGAGUACGGCCGCAAGGCUAAAACUCAAAGGAAUUGACGGGGGCCCGCACAAGCGGCGGAGCAUGUUGCUUAAUUCGAGGCAACGCGAAGAACCUUACCUGGGUUGAACUACGUGGGAAAAGCCGCAGAGAUGCGGUGUCCUUCGGGGUCCACGAUAGGUGGUGCAUGGCUGUCGUCAG
rnacentral:rRNA from 1 species